CAGCGCCACGGUAAUACGUAGGCGGCAAGCGUUGUCCGGAAUUAUUGGGCGUAAAGGGAGCGCAGGUGGGACGGUAAGUCCGUCUUAAAAGGCAGGGGCUCAGCCCCUGUAAGGGAUGGAAACUAUCGAUCUUGAGUGCCGGAGAGGAAAGCGGAAUUCCCAGUGUAGCGGUGAAAUGCGUAGAUAUUGGGAAGAACACCAGUGGCGAAGGCGGCUUUCUGGACGGCAACUGACACUGAGGCUCGAAAGCCAGGGGAGCGAACGGGAUUAGAUACCCGUGUAGUCCCUGUCUCUUAUACAC
rnacentral:rRNA from 1 species